GAAAUGCGAUAAGUAAUGUGAAUUGCAGAAUUCAGUGAAUCAUCGAAUCUUUGAACGCACCUUGCGCUCCUUGGUAUUCCUUGGAGCAUGCCUGUUUGAGUAUCAUGAAAUCUUCAAAGUAAAUCUUUUGUUAACUCAAUUGGUUUCUACUUUGGUAUUGGAGGUCUUUGCAGCUUCACACCUGCUCCUCUUUGUUCAUUAGCUGGAUCUCAGUGUUAUGCUUGGUUCCACUCGGCCUGAUAAGUUAUCUAUCGCUGAGGACACUGUAAAAGGUGGCCAAGGUAAAUGCAGAUGAACCGCUUCUAAUAGUCCAUUGACUUGGACAAUACUUUUAUGAUCUGAUCUCAAAUCAGGUAGGACUACCCGCUGAACUUAAGC
rnacentral:misc_RNA from 1 species